AAGAAGCUACUUUGUGCGUAUUGUUAAUUAAGUUUUAACCUUUAAGCUGUAAUAGGGAGUUUUAUAUCGAAGCUGGAAUGUCAUGCCUCCAUUGCAGAGGACGACAGGAAUGUUUCUGCAAACACCCACUUUGAGGAGUGGUGGUUUAAAACUUUCUUACUUGCAUACGGCAAGAUGUAGCGAAAGC
rnacentral:other from 5 species